GGGGCCACGCUCAGCUGCGAAUCGCCUCGCGCUUCCUCAAAGACCCUCUGAAGCCAGGAGGCACUGCCGCUCGCCGGCACCGCCACCGCCUCCUCCCGCCUCUCCUCGUCAGGGCGGGCGCUCCCGCCGCUCUCUGGGCAGAGUCAUCUGUGCAGAACUGAACCACAGCUGAAGCAGGAAUCAGAAUUCUUGCUCUUCUCUACUUCUAUUCCUGAUAUUAGAGGAGGGCAGCCUGGAUCACCGAGCAUGAGCAGUUUUGCACACCUCCAGGGUACAAAAUGAAAGCUGUUCUUUCUUCAGAGUCUCUUAGACAUUUUAUUUCAAGUCAAAAGCAAAUUUCCGGUUUCCACAGAGCGUAGUUCAAUCGCCUUCUCUCCCCAGCCCAUGACCUGGUUAGAUUGAAGUUCCUAGUCUGUGUAACAGGACAGUGCUGCUCUAGGCUGUAAAGAAGACUGUCAUGAACAUUCCUGAACACAGCAACAUGAUGAGCAGUAGGGCAGCAACCACACUGCAGUUAGUAUCUAUGAAGGAAGCGUAUGACUGGAGUUUUAUAUCAUUCUCACAAGCCAGCAACACACAGAUCUUCUCUUCAAGCACAUACAUUAACACACACUGUGAGGGCACAAUGAACAGGAAAAGAAGCACUGAAGCUGUACUUGCCAAACUGAAUACACUCAGGCCAACCACUUGACUCCGUGCCUCCGCAACAACUAUCCGUAACACUAGAACGGGGAUCCAGAGUCGCAGAGCAAUUUUAAUGCGUUGCCUUGGUACUUGCAUGAGCGAUCGGAGCAGGUAAGAGAUGAAGAAAGAGGUGGGGAACCAGGAAAAGAGGCUACCAGGAAGAGUAUCUCAAGUCAGCCUGUUAAAGUCUGGUCUGUUGCCACCACAAAGCUCCUUGAGAGAAUUAUCCAAUUCUAGCAGAUGCUCUUUAAAGUAAUAAAAUACCAAAAAUGACAGA